ACGAGUGCUGCCGCGGUGGCCAAUUUGUCGUUCCAGAUUUGUUGAUUUCGGCGGCCAUUUUGUUUUUUCUUAAAUAGGCCCGUAUAUGUUUACUUUAUUUUCUUAUUAAUUAUCAAUAUUUGAGCUUUUUUAUGGUGUUUUUCGUGCUUAGCUUUUAAAUUAACCCUAUGGUUAUCUAUUUCCAGUCAUUUUGUCUUAAUAUUGUUACCAGAUUUCUUUCUCUCUCUUGCCUAGGAACUGUCAAAAUGGUUAAUUUGUUAUUUUAAGAUAUAUUUAUCAUAUUAAGUAACUCAGUUUAUUACAGGUGAGAUUUCCUUCAGUAACCUGCUUUUUUUCCCAUCAAAAUACCCCCAUUUGUUUGUAAAAUAUCAAUUAUGGGGUAUGGCUUGGGACCCUUUUUCUGAAGAAAUUACCAGUAUUAUUGGUUAUCAGUUGGAUUUUCUUCAUCGUGAACUAUGAAGGCUAGAAUGAGAACAUUUCGGCUGUCCCCACUGUCAACUGUAAUAUGCUGCGUUUUUUAGAGAGAUUUUGAGAGAGAUGAAAGUUUUUAUCGGUGGCCAGAUAUCCAUGAUCAACCAGCUGAUUCAUUUGAUUUUGAACCAGAUUUAAACCAAACUGUACCCCAAUUCCUGCAAAGUGCUCCUGAAAGUUUUUCUCUCUUAGAACAAAAGACUGGACUAAUUUCUGUGGCUAAAAGUAAGAAUCGUAAAAGAAAUGUUUUCAGAGACUUGUGGUCAAGCUGUGAAUUUGUUUCAUGUUUCACACGAUGCUUGGUUCACAAUGGCAAGAAUCAAGUUGAAAUGUUUGAAGGCUUUAUGGAAAAAAAGAAUUGGUUAUGAAUAUAUUAUACUUUAAUUUGAUAUUUUAAACUAAAUGUGACAAAAUUGUAAGUUAAAUAUCUUCAAAACUGUUUUAGGAAAAGUUGUUUGAAAUAGUUCUUUUAAUUGAAUGAAAU